rnacentral:rRNA from 1 species
AGUGAACGCUGGCGGUAGGCCUAACACAUGCAAGUCGAACGGCAGCACAGUAAGAGCUUGCUCUUACGGGUGGCGAGUGGCGGACGGGUGAGGAAUACAUCGGAAUCUACUUUUUCGUGGGGGAUAACGUAGGGAAACUUACGCUAAUACCGCAUACGACCUACGGGUGAAAGCAGGGGAUCUUCGGACCUUGCGCGAUUGAAUGAGCCGAUGUCGGAUUAGCUAGUUGGCGGGGUAAAGGCCCACCAAGGCGACGAUCCGUAGCUGGUGUGAGUGGAUGAUCAGCCACACUGGAACUGAGACACGCUCCGGACGCCUACGGGAGGCAGCAGUGGGGAAUAUUAGACAGUGGGCGCAAGCCUGGUCCAGCCAUACCGCGUGGGUGAAAGAGGCCUUCGGGUUGUAAAGACCUUUUGUUGGGAAAGAAACGCAGCAGGUUAAUACCCCGCUGUUCUGACGGUAACCAAAGAAUAAGCACCGGCUAACUUCGUG